GAUGAACGCUGGCGGCGUGCCUAAUACAUGCAAGUCGAGCGAACAGACGAGGAGCUUGCUCCUCUGACGUUAGCGGCGGACGGGUGAGUAACACGUGGAUAACCUACCUAUAAGACUGGGAUAACUUCGGGAAACCGGAGCUAAUACCGGAUAAUAUAUUGAACCGCAUGGUUCAAUAGUGAAAGACGGUUUUGCUGUCACUUAUAGAUGGAUCCGCGCCGCCUUAGCUAGUUGGUAAGGUAACGGCUUACCAAGGCGACGAUGCGUAGCCGACCUGAGAGGGUGUUCGGCCAAACUGGAACUGAGACACGGUCCAGACUCCUACGGAAGGCAGCGGUAGGGAAUCUUCCGCAAGGGGCGAAAGCCUGACGGAGCAACGCCGCGUGAGUGAUGAAGGUCUUCGGAUCGUAAAACGCUGUUAUUAGGGAAGAACAAAUGUGUAAGUAACUAUGCACGUCUGGACGGUACCUAAGCAGAAAGCCACGGCUAACUACGU
rnacentral:rRNA from 1 species